GCAAGUUUUUAUUUUAGAGAAGAGAGAAAGCAUGUCCAUGCAUACCUGAAUCAUGGGGCAGAAAGUGAAAUGUGGUGCAGAGGAAAUUCAGGCGAGGAGCCACAAAAACUGAGAGCAAAGUGACUUUGCUAAGAGGCUCUGGGAAAAAUCUCAAAGGGGAGGAGCAAAUGCCCAGACCUAGGAGACUGGGCAGAAUUUGGACACAAGGAAGUCAUUGUGGGCUGACAGUACAGGGUCCAACAGAGGCAAAGAGCUGGAAAUGCAGGGAAAGAAAGGGGAACAUCCUCCUCUUCCAGCGGAGGAAGCUGGGUGAAGAAAGGAGAAGCAUUGCGCUGGUGUGGGAAGCACGGGGCCGCUAAGGUUGAAGUGAGUGGAGAUGGGAGGCGGCGGGAGUCACUAGAGGCUAGGAAGAGAGGCUCACACUACAGAGGGCCUUGAGUGCCAGGCUAGGAAAUCCAUAGGGGAAGAAGCCAAGACUCAAGGAGUUAAGAACUUUUCCAAGGGUAGCUAUUAGCCAGGACUCAAACCUACAUACUUGAAUGAAUUUCUACAACCUGUUAUUGAAGACUAAGGAGUAAGAAUUCUGCCGGAAGACUGUGUUGCCGAACCAAUCAGGCUUCUCAGCCUGGGCUGGAUCCUGGACAGACAGGCCCAGGCAGGCUGUGCACUGUGACCUGGGGCCUUGCUGUGAACAAAGAGGACUUCAAGAGGAGAUGGCCUGGAGGAGUUCGCCUUUGUGGUCAUUUUGCUUCAGUCCGUGACAACCUGGCUUCCAUCAAACCAAUCAGCCCAUCACCCAAUACUAGCUGUUCCAAAUAUAAAUUGUUGUCUUUGUCACUUUGCGUAGUCACUCUCCUCUUGAAAUAUACACAUGUUGUGAAAGGACUCUAGAAAUAAAUCUUUCCUCAUUAAAAUUUUCUACACAUGCGUUAAUUUUUCCUCCCUUUUCAACAGCGGACCAGUCAGCAAAUAAUGACUGCCCUUGGUCAUCCCUGGGAAGAUAAAGGAUUAUUAAAAGAGGGCCCGGCAGCUUGCAGAUUACACCUGCUACAUUUGGAGUGGAAAGAGGCUUCUCUGUCAGUGCCCCUUGCCCCCAUGGAAAGACACUAAUAGCAAUCUUCAACCAUAAUUGUUUGGUCCAUUUUGUUCUGGACCAAGUUUGCAUAAGUUUUAAGCCUGAAAGUCAAAGAAAAACGAAAUCUUACACGUCAACAUGGCCUUUCCAUCACUUGAAAAAGGCACCCUCUCUCUCUCUUUCUCUCUGCCUCGUAAACACAGCGGUCUUGCUCAGAGCAAUCUUGAGCUCUGAGCUGUGAAGAAUUGCUGUAGGUAGGAAGAAACGUUGGCUCUGGAAUUCAAUUAACUGUCAGCAUUGCUGUUCGAGUCAGGAUGACUCACUCCUCUUCAGCAAAUGGGCAUGGGGGCUGUGAGCCUCCAAGAUUAAUGGUGAUUGAUAAGCCGCUGGAGCUCCAGGACGAAGCCUCCCAGAAUCCUUCCCUCACCCACACACGUUUUUACAUGAAAAUAUAAUAGAUAGUGGGAGAGGAUGUGUGAGUACAGAGGAGAUGCUGUCAAGAAUUUGCCUGUAUCCUUUUCUUUUAUAUUGGUAAGUUUCACUGGAUUCUAAGCUACUGAAAAGCAGGGACUAUGUUUUAUAUUUCUUUUCUCUCAGUUCAUGUCCAAAUUAAUGCAUCAGGUGAAAAGAAAGGAUGCUGUCUGAUACCCCAUGAGGUAGGUAUGAGGCCCAUUCUAUAAAUGAGGGGAAGCAACGUGCUAAUAAGAGAAAAAGCUAGGACUCGGUCCCAGAAAGUCUGCCAAGGGUGCCAGCUCCAACCGCUGCAGGUGCCGCCUCUUCACGAGCACGUUACGCCAUUUCUCUCUUUAACACGGAAAGCAAAAUGUGGGCCUGACUGUGGUGAGGGCAUGCUUUUCCAUUCUAAAUGGCAGCUAGCAUGCAUUACAUGUACAAUAUACAACAGGAAUACAAUACGCGGGAGAGAAAACCUUCCCUCCCCUUUUCCUCAGGCACCUGGCUGGUUCAGGCUCCAGUGGCUUGGUUUUGUCGCUGGUGUUGUUAGUUUCCCCCAGCAUCCCCAUUCAUUUUCCAGAAUCCUCUGUCCCUCAUUGUAGUUUUGUAUUUGCAGAUACAAUCUAGGAAACAAUUCAGAUGGGAAAAGAAAUCUUUUCAUGAGAAAGGAUAGUAAAAUUAACAGAAAGCUGGUUAAACUUACAAUUUCCUCAAGUAUUGAGAAUAAACAUGAAUCCAUGAGAAUAAAAACUCAGUAUGGAUUUGUCCACAACGCUUAGGAGGAACAUGUUAGAAGUGCCACAUGCAGGCCAGGCGUGGUGGCUCACGCCUGUAAUCCCAGCAUUUUGGGAGGCCGAGGCAGGAGGAUCAAGAGGUCAGGAGAUCAAGAUCAUCCUGGCUAACACGGUGAAACCCUGUCUCUACUAAAAAAAAUACAAAAAAUUAGCCGGGUGUGGUGGCAUAAGCCUGUAGUCCCAGCUACUCGGGAGGCUGAGGCAGGAGAAUCGCUUGAACCCGGGAGGUGGAGCUUUCAGUGAGCCGAGACGCACCACUGCACUCCAGCCUGGGUGACAGAGCGAGACUCUGUCUCAAAAAAAAAAAAAAAGAAAAAGAAAAAGAAAGAAAAAGAAAUGCCACAUGCAUGUAAGAGUCCAGGCAGGGUGGUCAAACUGUCAGAUGCGCAACAUUCGAGGGGCAAAAAGGAUGAAAUAAGAUGCUCUCUAAACGCAUGAGCAAGACCAGCUGUCAAAGCACUGGCGCCUUUAUUCACACAUUUUGUAAACCUCAGGUAGACAGGAGACAGCAGUAAGUACGUGACCUCAGCGCGUGAUCCUCAUUCAAACUGGAAUUCGAGUAUCACUGGUCUCAGCUGCAGACAUUUCAGAGUGGGUCCAUUUGCUCUUAGGAACUUCCAGGGCACCCCAGCACCACUUGUUUUUGCCUUUGUCUUUGCUUUCCUUCCCCACAUCCCUACAAAACCAAACAGACUUGCUCUCCCAGCUUCACAAAGAGAAACGGAUUCCAAGAGGAAAUCACUUCACAGCAAGUGAGCCCUGGGAAGAAUUAAAGACUGAGGAGCCCUUGUAAUGAGAUUAAGGGAAAAAUGCUUUUGUGCAUCCAACUCAGACCCGUCCUCAGUAUGCAGGACGCGAGUGGUGCCAAAACAAACAUGGGUAUUGUUUUGGGAAGGAAAAGGUUAACAAGCUAUGAAAACAAAAUUAGAGAUAUUUUCAAAGCAUGACCCUCAGCAGAAUGAGUAGAAUGCAGUCUACCCAGGCAGCAGCAUUCCCUCCUCACUUGACAUUUAUCCUGCA
rnacentral:lncRNA from 10 species